GAUGAACGCUGACAAGAAUGCGUUAACACAUGCAAAGUCUUUGGCGAAUCGUGUGCUUGCACAGGCUAGCCAAGCGGACGGGUGAGUAACGCGUAAAGAACUUGCCCUGCAGACAGGGAUACAGACGGAAACGACUGAUAAUACCUGAUACAAUUGCCAGCACACAUGUGCCCGGCAAUGAAAAGUGAUGCUGCAGGAGAGCUUUGGUCUAUUAGCUUGUUGGUGAAGGUACGGCUCACCAAGGCGAUGAUAGGUAGCCGGCCUGAGAGGGUGAACGGCCACAAGGGGACUGAGAUACGGCCCUUACUCCUACGGGAGGCAGCAGUGGGGAAUAUUGGACAAUGGGGGCAACCCUGAUCCAGCAAUUCUGUGUGCACGAAGAAGGUUUUCGGAUUGUAAAGUGCUUUCAGCAGGGAAGAAGAAAGUGACGGUACCUGC
rnacentral:rRNA from 1 species